rnacentral:misc_RNA from 1 species
GAAACGCGAUAGUUAAUGUGAAUUGCAGAAUUCAGUGAAUCAUCGAGUCUUUGAACGCACAUUGCGCCUUUUGGUAUUCCGAGAGGCACGCCUGUCUGAGCGUCAGUAUAACCUUCGGUAAUUCUUCAUUGCCGGUGUUGGCGUCGGGCAACCGGGGCGUAAUACCCCCGGUGUGCCCCGCUUAAACUACUGACAGCGGGUACAAUUUGUCAUUGAUGCUAGCGAUAGUAGAAAUAUAAUCGAAAAGCUUUGUACAAAUCCGCUAUAUAAAAUCCGAGGGGCGGGGACGGCCGCAAGGUCCCCCCUAAACCUCUAAAUUUUGACCUCAGAUCAGACGAGGAUACCCGCUGAACUUAA